rnacentral:misc_RNA from 1 species
GGAAAAAACAAGCCCUUCAAUGAUCUAAGCUUCCAAUAUUGAGUCACUUGGCGAGGAUAGUAGAUCUGGCCUCAAUUGAGACGCUGGACAACAAAAGAGCCUGCCACUAUCAGCAUUUUUAAUCCUACUGGUUACUAUUCUCAGAUAAAUAGGCUACCGCUUCUCAAAUCUAGCAAUGCAAACCCCCAACAUAGAUCGUUUCUUCCAAAUCUUCUACAUGCAAUGCAGACUCUAAGAUCUAGCAACACAAAACAAACAAAGCCAAAACUAUCAACAAUCAAAUCGAAAAAUGGGAGGGAGACCUUCACCAAGUUGGACAAAAC